CCUACGGGAGGCAGCAGUAGGGAAUCUUCCACAAUGGACGAAAGUCUGAUGGAGCAACGCCGCGUGAGUGAAGAAGGUUUUCGGAUCGUAAAACUCUGUUGUAAGGGAAGAACAAGUACAGUAGUAACUGGCGGAGCCUUGACGGUACUCCAGCGAAAGCCGCGGCUAACUAUGCCCAGCAGCCGCG
rnacentral:rRNA from 1 species